rnacentral:rRNA from 1 species
CCUACGGGGGGCAGCAGUCGAGAAUCAUUCACAAUGGGGGAAACUCUGAUGGUGCGACGCCGCGUGGGGGAAUGAAGGUCUUCGGAUUGUAAACCCCUGUCAUGUGGGAGCAAAUUAAAAAGAUAGUACCACAAGAGGAAGAGACGGCUAACUCUGUGCCAGCAGCUGCGGUAAUACAGAGGUCUCAAGCGUUGUUCGGAAUCACUGGGCGUAAAGCGUGCGUAGGCUGUUUCGUAAGUCGUGUGUGAAAGGCGCGGGCUCAAACCGCGGACGGGACAUGAUACUGGGAGACUAGAGUAAUGGAUGCGGAACCGGAAUUCUAGGGGGAGCAGUGAAAUGCGUAG